GCUCCUAUGGUGUAGUGGUCACUGUGCUUGCCUUGCACGCGGGAGACCCGGGUUCUAUUCCCGGCAGGGUCA
rfam:Asian citrus Psyllid, Diaphorina citri - Florida Strain, whole genome shotgun sequence.